rnacentral:tRNA from 1 species
GGUACCGUGGUGUACUGGUUAUCACGCCUGCUUCAUACGCAGAAGGUUCCCGGUUCGAUUCCGGCUGGACCU